UACGUAGAGUGCGAGCGUUGUCCGGAAUUACUGGGCGUAAAGAGCUCGUAGGUGGUUUGUCGCGUUGUUCGUGAAAUCUCACGGCUUAACUGUGAGCGUGCGGGCGAUACGGGCAGACUGGAGUACUGCAGGGGAGACUGGAAUUCCUGGUGUAGCGGUGGAAUGCGCAGAUAUCAGGAGGAACACCGGUGGCGAAGGCGGUUCUCUGGGCAUUACCUGACGCUGAGGAGCGAAAGUGUGGGGAGCGAACAGG
rnacentral:rRNA from 1 species